AAAAACACGGUCUCCAUUAUCCUUAUUCUAGGCUGUUUGUGUAAAUGUGCCUUACCUGUCUAACUGUCAAAUUUAUUAAAACUAAACUGUCAAUGUCAACCUGACAUAACCUUAACCUGUUUGGCUGUUUUUUUUUUCCGCACUAAUCAAAACAAAAGCAUGCGUCGUUGUGUUCAACAACAUCGAUCGCACGAAGAAAUCUAAUGUUUACCCGAUUAAACUUACGAAACUCUAAAAUAAUGAGUGAAUCUUACAGGACCAAACAUAACAAUGCAAACCCAACUACACUCUUUGUUGAACUAAAACCCAUGAUAAACCACUGAUCAAACCAUCCACUGUGACAAAAAAUUCACAAUCCCUCACUAAUUAUAUACCAAAGUUACUAUUCUACAAUAAGAUAUGACAUACUUUGUGAAUGCUGAUGAUGAUGAUGUUCUAUAUUUGACAACCAAACUCUGAGACUAUAUACUAUGAAGUAAACAUCCUGACUCAGGUGAAGAAGUGUAUUGCAACCGCGCUCAAAAUAGGAACAACUAAACUACCCGCAUAAUUCUUAACUUACAAAGAAUAUAUUGACACUAAAUGAGGUCCUAGCCUACUUUAUAUGGUCUAACACUUUAUCAACAACAGUUUACUUGAUCUACAUUAAUUGUUUUCUAAAUUUAUUGUUAUGUCUGACCGCUACCCUUUCAUCACAAAAUAUUUUUUUAUUAUUUUUUCUUUCAAAUGAGAUUAAUGUUAUAUUUUCUUUUCUUUAUUAACUGUAACUCAUUGUAUUUGUUUAGAGAAAUGUCUGAUAACAUAUUCUGCUACUAAUUGGCUCUCUGGAAUUUCAUAAUUAGACAUUUGGGCUUUUCCGGUUACUCUAAGUUAGAAUGAUA